UACGUAGGUGGCAAGCGUUGUCCGGAAUUAUUGGGCGUAAAGAGCUCGUAGGCGGUCUGUCGUGUCGGCUGUGAAAUCCCGAGGCUCAACCUCGGGUCUGCAGUCGAUACGGGCAAACUAGAGUAUUGCAGGGGAGACUGGAAUUCCUGGUGUAGCGGUGAAAUGCGCAGAUAUCAGGAGGAACACCGGUGGCGAAGGCGGGUCUCUGGGCAAUAACUGACGCUGAGGAGCGAAAGCGUGGGGAGCGAACAGG
rnacentral:rRNA from 1 species